CGCGUAGGCGGGAUAACAAGUCAGGUGUGAAAUCCGGGGCGUCAACCCUCGAACUGCACUUGAAACUAGUUAUUCUUGAGUGAUGGAGAGGCAAGUGGAAUUCCUAGUGUAGCGGUGAAAUGCGUAGAUAUUAGGAGGAACACCAGUGGCGAAGGCGACUUGCUGGACAUUAACUGACGCUGAGGCGCGAAAGCGUGGGGAGCAAACAG
rnacentral:rRNA from 1 species